GACGAAGGGGGCUAGCGUUGUUCGGAAUUACUGGGCGUAAAGCGAGUGUAGGUGGUUGUCAUAGUCAGGUGUGAAAGCCUUGAGCUCAACUCAAGAAAUGCACUUGAUACUGGGCGACUAGAGGACCGGAGAGGAUAGUGGAAUUCCCAGUGUAGUGGUGAAAUACGUAGAGAUUGGGAAGAACACCAGUGGCGAAGGCGGCUAUCUGGACGGUUUCUGACACUAAGACUCGAAAAGCGUGGGGGAGCAAACAGG
rnacentral:rRNA from 1 species